rnacentral:misc_RNA from 1 species
AUGCUUUCGCCACUGGUGUUCCUCCUGAUAUCUGCGCAUUUCACCGCUACACCAGGAAUUCCAGUCUCCCCUGCAACACUCUAGUUUGCUCGUAUCGACUGCAGACCCGAGGUUGAGCCUCGGGAUUUCACAGCCGACGCAACAAACCGCCUACGAGCUCUUUACGCCCAAUAAUUCCGGACAACGCUUGCACCCUACGUAUUACCGCGGCUGCUGGCACGUAGUUGGCCGGUGCUUCUUCUGCAGGUACCGUCACUUGCGCUUCGUCCCUGCUGAAAGAGGUUUACAACCCGAAGGCCGUCAUCCCCCACGCGGCGUCGCUGCGUCAGGCUUUCGCCCAUUGCGCAAUAUUCCCCACUGCUGCACCCCGUAGG